AGCAGUAGCCACGGUAAAACGUAGGUGGCAAGCGUUGUCCGGAAUUAUUGGGCGUAAAGGGCUCGCAGGCGGUUUCUUAAGUCUGAUGUGAAAGCCCCCGGCUCAACCGGGGAGGGUCAUUGGAAACUGGGAAACUUGAGUGCAGAAGAGGAGAGUGGAAUUCCACGUGUAGCGGUGAAAUGUGUAGAGAUGUGGAGGAACACCAGUGGCGAAGGCGACUCUCUGGUCUGUAACUGACGCUGAGGAGCGAAAGCGUGGGGAGCGAACAGGAUUAGAUACCCCUGUAGUCCCUGUCUCUUAUAC
rnacentral:rRNA from 1 species